AGUUGCUUCCUGGGGACAGUUUGUCUUGAAAACAAACUCUAAGUGUUCAAUUCACUUGGUAACUU
rnacentral:tRNA from 1 species